UACGUAGGGUGCAAGCGUUGUCCGGAAUUAUUGGGCGUAAAGAGCUCGUAGGCGGCUCAGUAAGUCAGAUGUGAAAACUCAGGGCUCAACCCGGAGACGCCAUCUGAUACUGCUGUGGCUUGAGUCUGGUAGGGGAUCACGGAAUUCCUGGUGUAGCGGUGAAAUGCGCAGAUAUCAGGAGGAACACCGGUGGCGAAGGCGGGUCUCUGGGCCGAUAUUGACGCUGAGGAGCGAAAGCGUGGGGAGCGAACAGG
rnacentral:rRNA from 1 species